GGAGGGCAGGGAUGGGUAGUCAUCGCUGAGUUCAAACUUGCUGCCCUGGAAGUUCUCCCCCUCGAACAGUGUCACACGGCUGUCACUGUGAUUCUGAAAGGUGGGAGUGGACAGGUCAGGCCCUCCAAAGAAGUGUUAAUGGGCCCUUACCCUGACAUACACAGCUCAUGGCAAUCUGGCCCCCUCUAGAAGCUGAAGACCCUAAAUCUUACUAUCCAGGAUUUGAGGGACCCAGACUUCCAGCUUAGGCUCCGCAGGUUGGAAGGAAUUUUCCAGCUUCUGAAGAUCACCCGACCAAGAGUUCCUACCUCAAGCAUUUAGGUGCUUGCAAAGAGCGCACCCUGCGCAGGCCUCCGCGCUCCGCGACGUUCGCGCAGUCGCUCAGCAGCCGGCAGCGGCGGCCCUGGAAGUCCUCCUCGUCCCAGAGCGUGAGGCUGGCGGGCGCCGGGCCCGGAGCAGG